rnacentral:ncRNA from 1 species
AUUUUUGUCCAGUGCUCUGAAUAUCAAAGUGAAGCGCGGGUAAAUGACGGGAGUAACUAUGACUCUUUUAAGAUAGCCAAAUAUCUCGUUAUCUAAUUAGUAACGCACAUGAAUGGAU